rnacentral:rRNA from 1 species
AGAGUUUGAUCAUGGCUCAGAAUCAACGCUGGCGGCGCGCCUAACACAUGCAAGUCGAACGAGAAAGCCGCAAGGCAAGUAAAGUGGCGUACGGGUGAGUAACACGUGGAUAAUCUACCCUCUGGUGGGGAAUACCUCUGGGAAACCGGAGACAAUCCGCAUAAGCUCGGGAGAGGAAAGCGUCUUUAUGAAAGUAGAGAGGCGCCGGAGGAGGAGUCCGCGGUCGAUUAGUUAGUUGGCAGGGUAAGAGCCUACCAAGCUGUGAUCGAUAGCCGGCCUGAGAGGGCACACGGCCACACUGGCACUGAAACACGGGCCAGACUCCUACGGGAGGCAGCAGUGGGGAAUCUUGCACAAUGGGGGAAACCCUGAUGCAGCGACGCCGCGUGAGCGAUGAANNCUUCGGGGUGUAAAGCUCUUUCGUCAGGGAAGAUAGUGACGGUACCUGGAGAAGCAGCUGCGGCUAACUACGUGCCAGCAGCCGCGGUAAUACGUAGGCAGCAAGCGUUGUUCGGAGUUACUGGGCGUAAAGGGUGCGUAGGCGGCUGUUUAAGUUUGGUGUGAAAUCUCCCGGCUCAACCGGGAGGGUGCGCCGAAUACUGAGUGGCUAGAGUGCGGGAGAGGAAAGUGGAAUUCCUGGUGUAGCGGUGAAAUGCGUAGAUAUCAGGAGGACCCGGUGGUGUAAACGGCUUUCUGGACCGUAACUGACGCUGAGGCACGAAAGCGUGGGUAGCAAACAGGAUUAGAUACCCUAGUAGUCC